AACCAUAGAAACCUGCGGAGUACCUGCGGAAGGAUCAUUACCGAGUGUGGCCCCAUUUUUAAAACAAAUAGGGGUACCUCCCGUCCUUUGCAGGGCCCUUUGGGGCUUUUUGAACUUUGCUUCGGCGGGUUUACCCCGCCGGAACACCCUCAAGAAAAUCUUUUUAAAAAUACUGUAGUCUGAGCAUUUACAAAAUAAAAACAAAACUUUCAACAACGGAUCUCAGAUCGGAAGAGCACA
rnacentral:misc_RNA from 1 species